UGGGUAACCUGCCUCAAAGAGGGGAAUAGCCUCCCGAAAGGGAGAUUAAUACCGCAUAAUAUGUUUAAGUCGCAUGACUUUAACAUCAAAGGAUUUUCUUUUAGAACUUCCACUUUGAGAUGGACCCGCGGCGCAUUAGCUAGUUGGUGAGGUAACGGCUCACCAAGGCAACGAUGCGUAGCCGACCUGAGAGGGUGAUCGGCCACAUUGGAACUGAGACACGGUCCAGACUCCGUAGGGAGG
rnacentral:rRNA from 1 species